CCUACGGGAGGCAGCAGUGAGGAAUAUUGGUCAAUGGACGGGAGCCUGAACCAGCCAAGUAGCGUGAAGGAUGACGGCCCUACGGGUUGUAAACUUCUUUUGUAAGGGAAUAAAGCGAGGCACGUGUGCCUUUUUGCAUGUACUUUAUGAAUAAGGAUCGGCUAACUCCGUGCCAGCAGCCGCGGUAAUACGGAGGAUCCGAGCGUUAUCCGGAUUUAUUGGGUUUAAAGGGAGCGUAGGUGGGUUGUUAAGUCAGUUGUGAAAGUUUGCGGCUCAACCGUGGAAUUGCAAUGGAUACUGGCAGUCUGGAGUACAGGUGAGGUAGGCGGAAUUCGUGGUGUAGCGGUGAAAUGCUUAGAUAUCACGAAGAACCCCGAUUGCGAAGGCAGCUUACUAAACUGGGACUGACAUUGAUGCUCGAAAGUGUGGGUAUCGAACAGGAUUAGAUACCCCAGUAGUC
rnacentral:rRNA from 1 species